GAGGUCUGACCGGGGAGGGAAGGAAAGAGGUGACCAGCUGUUAGUACAAAUGUUAAGGAAAUAAUCAGGGCACAGGCAGCCCUGUGGAGGAAGGGAGAUGGGGUGAGGUCUCAGUGAAGGAGACCCAAGCUCAAACGUGUUGCUUGUUAUGGAGUCAACACUCAAUGAUCUUAGGGAAGAAUGCUGAGCUAGCUGUAGGGGUAAAUGCAGGCCCUGGGGAACCCACAAGUCCCAUUUACAUGUCUUGUCUCCUCUCUCAGCCCUCUGUUGUUUUUCGUUAUCUGGAGGCAGAGUGGGUAGUAGCCUGCUUUGUGCUCCCUUUUCAGGGGCCAGUGUCAGUGGACAGAGGUGUGUACACUGGGAUGGGCAGGAAAGGCCUGAGACAGGGACCUAGGGUCUUCACCUUUGUGUAUCUGGCAUAUGGCAGAGCCCUGGCCACGGAUAAUGACAGUAAACAGUCAAAUCAGUGGAACUGGAGGACGAGAGAGGCUAACUCUGGCUGACUCUGGCUGCUGUGCAGUUCUGAACCAUAGGUAAUUGAGAACCUAUACAUUCUGAUUGAAUAAAUGUGUUUUAAAUAGAAAGAAUUGAUUCCUGAAUUCCCACUGAAGAGAAAACACUUGACUUCACCCACAUUUGUCCAAAAGCUAGUGAACGUUGGCCACCUUGAAACAGUGUAAGAGUCCAGGCACCGAAAGCCAGCUCUCCCUCUCGUGUCUCAGGGCUGAUACGUUCUGCAUUUGUGACUUAGUCUGGUGUA
rnacentral:lncRNA from 1 species